rnacentral:rRNA from 1 species
UAGGGAAUCUUCCGCAAUGGACGCAAGUCUGACGGAGCAACGCCGCGUGAGUGAAGAAGGAUUUCGGUUUGUAAAACUCUGUUGUUAGAGAAGAACAGCGCAUAGAGUAACUGUUAUGCGUGUGACGGUAUCUAACCAGAAAGCCACGGCUAACUACGUGCCAGCAGCCGCGGUAAUACGUAGGUGGCAAGCGUUGUCCGGAUUUAUUGGGCGUAAAGCGAGCGCAGGCGGUCAAUUAAGUCUGAUGUGAAAGCCCCCGGCUCAACCGGGGAGGGUCAUUGGAAACUGGUUGGCUUGAGUGUGGGAGAGGAGGGUGGAAUUCCCUGUGUAGCGGUGAAAUGCGUAGAUAUAUGGGGGAACACCAGUGGCGAAGGCGACUCUCUGGUCUGUAACUGACGCUGAGGCACGAAAGCGUGGGUAGCAAACAGG